rnacentral:rRNA from 1 species
UACGUAGGGUGCAGGCGUUAAUCGGAAUUACUGGGCGUAAAGCGUGCGCAGGCGGUUUGCUAAGACAGGUGUGAAAUCCCCGGGCUUAAUCUGGGAACUGCGCUUGUAACUGGCAAGCUGGAGUGUGGCAGAGGGGGGUGGAAUUCCACGUGUAGCAGUGAAAUGCGUAGAGAUGUGGAGGAACACCGAUGGCGAAGGCAGCCCCCUGGGCUAACACUGACGCUCAUGCACGAAAGCGUGGGGAGCGAACAGG